AAUGACAAUCUUGGAUGAACUUCUCCCAAUAUCCCUCGAGAUGGCAAAGAGAAACCUGACUGGAAUAUGGAACUUCACAAAUCCCGGAGUUGUUAGCCAUAAUGAGAUUCUUGAAAUGUACCGUGACUAUGUCGACCCGAGCUUUAGCUGGAAAAAUUUCACUCUUGAGGAGCAAGCAAAGGUCAUUGUUGCUCCUAGGAGUAACAAUGAGCUUGAUGCUUCCAAACUGAGUAUGUUUUCAAGCCAAAUAGGAAAACACCAGUAGCUUGAAACUUAUAGAAAAUCUCAGAUUUAUUUUUUGUUUUUGUCUUAUUCAAUGAAUCAACUAUGUUUCAGUUCUAAUAGCUGGGUUGGCUUGUCUAUUUUCUUGUCAUUUUCUGAUUUUGAGUUUCUUUGGGAAGAUGUGAACUCCCUAUCAUAGGAGGUGGAGGUGCACAUUUUU
rnacentral:lncRNA from 1 species